rnacentral:rRNA from 1 species
UGUUGGCUUAGAAGCAGCCACCAUUUAAAGAGUGCGUAAUAGCUCACUAGUCGAGUGACUCUGCGCCGAAAAUGUACCGGGGCUAAAUACACCACCGAAGCUGCGGAUUGAUACCAAUGGUAUCAGUGGUAGGGGAGCGUUCUAAGGACAGUGAAGUCAGACCGGAAGGACUGGUGGAGCGCUUAGAAGUGAGAAUGCCGGUAUGAGUAGCGAAAGACGGGUGAGAAUCCCGUCCACCGAAUGCCUAAGGUUUCCUGAGGAAGGCUCGUCCGCUCAGGGUUAGUCAGGACCUAAGCCGAGGCCGACAGGCGUAGGCGAUGGACAACAGGUUGAUAUUCCUGUACCACCUCUUUAUCGUUUGAGCAAUGGAGGGACGCAGAAGGAUAGAAGAAGCGUGCGAUUGGUUGUGCACGUCCAAGCAGUUAGGCUGAUAAGUAGGCAAAUCCGCUUAUCGUGAAGGCUGAGCUGUGAUGGGGAAGCUCCUUAUGGAGCGAAGUCUUUGAUUCCCCGCUGCCAAGAAAAGCUUCUAGCGAGAUAAAAGGUGCCUGUACCGCAAACCGACACAGGUAGGCGAGGAGAGAAUCCUAAGGUGUGCGAGAGAACUCUGGUUAAGGAACUCGGCAAAAUGACCCCGUAACUUCGGGAGAAGGGGUGCUUUCUUAACGGAAAGCCGCAGUGAAUAGGCCCAAGCGACUGUUUAGCAAAAACACAGCUCUCUGCGAAGCCGUAAGGCGAAGUAUAGGGGCUGACACCUGCCCGGUGCUGGAAGGUUAAGGAGAGGGGU